GGUUGGUGCAAAAGUAACUGCGGUUUUUGACAUUAUUUUCAAUGGUGAGAACAGCAAGUACUUUUGCACCAA
rnacentral:miRNA from 1 species